UUGUCCAUUGUAAUUUGUAUUUAUAGGCUUAUAAAAGUGUCAUUAGUUGUAGGCUCAGACUCAGACUAGACUGUGCUUUGUGUCGUCAUCUCAACCUAUUAUCUGUGUCUCUUUCCUCUGCAUCUGUUUAAGAUUUCGUUCCUCUGUUCGGGCGUUUUUGUCUUGCAUUUGCAUCAUCCAUCGUCACCUUUGCAGAUUCAUUCACCUAACACCCCUUCUAUUCAUUCAACCCCUAACUCCUCUCUUCUCCCGCAACUAUCUGACAAACGUGUGGUUCUGUUCAACAUUUUUCUUUUUUCCGUCUAUUUAUUUGGGAACCAGCCAAAAGCACGCUGCGGAGUGGUUCUAUAUGUUUUCAAAGUAUAUUAUUGAGGAGGAAAGAGAAAUCCCUGUCAUUUCAUAUAUGAACAUAUAUGUCUUUUGAUGGGAGAUGUUGCUAAGGACCUUACCGCUGGAACUGUUGGAGGGGCAGCACAAUUGAUAGUUGGACACCCAUUUGACACCAUCAAGGUCAAGCUCCAAAGCCAGCCUACACCACUCCCGGGCCAGCUUCCCAAGUAUUCUGGUGCCAUUGAUGCUGUUAAGCAGACAGUGGCAGCCGAAGGCCCAAGGGGUUUAUACAAGGGUAUGGGAGCCCCACUCGCCACAGUAGCUGCCUUCAAUGCUGUCCUGUUUACAGUUAGGGGACAGAUGGAGGCAUUACUGAGGCCACAUCCAGGUGCACCCCUCACAGUAAAUCAACAGAUUGUUUGUGGAGCUGGAGCUGGAGUUGCUGUUUCCUUUCUAGCUUGCCCCACUGAAUUGAUCAAAUGCAGGUUGCAAGCACAAAGUGUGCUUGCUGGUUCUGGAACAGCUUCAGUGGCAGUGAAAUAUGGGGGACCCAUGGAUGUGGCCAGGCAUGUUCUUAGGUCAGAAGGGGGCAUGAAAGGUCUUUUCAAGGGCUUGGUUCCCACUAUGGCGCGUGAAAUACCCGGAAAUGCUGCAAUGUUUGGUGUAUAUGAAGCAGUAAAGCAAUUACUUGCAGGAGGUCCUGAUACCUCUGGACUGGGUAGAGGUUCUCUGAUUACUGCAGGAGGCUUGGCUGGAGCUUCUUUCUGGUUCAUGGUUUACCCAACUGAUGUUGUUAAGAGUGUGAUUCAAGUAGAUGAUUACAAAAACCCAAAGUUUUCUGGUUCAAUUGAUGCUUUCAGAAGGAUUCUAGCAUCUGAGGGGUUCAAAGGCCUUUAUAAGGGUUUUGGUCCUGCAAUGGCCCGAAGUGUUCCUGCCAAUGCAGCUUGCUUUUUGGCAUAUGAAAUGACAAGAUCAGCUCUAGGAUGAUUAAUUCAUACAACAAGCCUGAUAGGGGUUCCACACACUGCUCAUUUUUCCAUUUCUUCUUAAUUCCUACAACAAUUUUAUUUUAUAUCAUUGCAAUGUGGCCACACAGGCUUACUUCAAGGAAUCAUUCUUUCACCUAUGUUGCAUAGCUCUGGAAGAGCAGAGUGACUCUUACCAUUUCAAUGGCAUGUAAGUGGUACCAGUCGUUUUUAAAUUCCUUACCCUAGUCCAAAC